GACGAACGCUGGCGGCGUGCUUAACACAUGCAAGUCGAACGGAAAGGCCCUGCUUUUGUGGGGUGCUCGAGUGGCGAACGGGUGAGUAACACGUGAGUAACCUGCCCUUGACUUUGGGAUAACUUCAGGAAACUGGGGCUAAAACCGGAUAGGAGCUCCUGCUGCAUGGUGGGGGUUGGAAAGUUUCGGCGGUUGGGGAUGGACUCGCGGCUUAUCAGCUUGUUGGUGGGGUAGUGGCUUACCAAGGCUUUGACGGGUAGCCGGCCUGAGAGGGUGACCGGCCACAUUGGGACUGAGAUACGGCCCAGACGCCUACGGGAGGCAGCAGUGGGGAAUAUUGCACAAUGGGCGGAAGCCUGAUGCAGCAACGCCGCGUGCGGGAUGACGGCCUUCGGGUUGUAAACCGAUUUCGCCGGUGACGAAGAGUGAGUGACGGUAAUGGGUAAAGAAGCACCGGCUAACUACGUG
rnacentral:rRNA from 1 species